UACGUAGGGGGCAAGCGUUGUCCGGAUUUACUGGGCGUAAAGAGCGUGUAGGCGGCCACGCAGGUCCGUUGUGAAAACUGGAGGCUCAACCUCCAGACGUCGACGGAAACCGUAUGGCUAGAGUCCGGAAGAGGAGAGUGGAAUUCCUGGUGUAGCGGUGAAAUGCGCAGAUAUCAGGAGGAACACCAGUGGCGAAGGCGGCACUCUGGGCCGGUACUGACGCUGAGGAGCGAAAGCGUGGGGAGCGAACAGG
rnacentral:rRNA from 1 species